rnacentral:rRNA from 1 species
CCGCGGUAAAACCGGUUACUCCUACGGGAGGCAGCAGUGGGGAAUAUUGGACAAUGGGCGCAAGCCUGAUCCAGCAAUGCCGCGUGAGUGAUGAAGGCCUUCGGGUUGUAAAGCUCUUUCGCCCGCGACGCGGUAGCGGGAGAAGAAGCCCCGGCUAACUUC